UCAGAUGUGAAUACCCGCUGAACUUAAGCAUAU
rnacentral:rRNA from 1 species